ensembl:lncRNA
AGAAAACAGGAGAAGAAGAAGGAUGAUAAAAGAAUGUGGAAACGGCCAAAUAAGGCACAAUGUUAUCUGGUGUGAACUAAUCAGAGUGGGACAUGACAGCACGGUUAUCUAGGUAAAAUGUAUAUAAGCUGUGUUUAGUAGUGAAUAAACGCCAUUUGCCUCACUUACUCCUGGGGUCUGGGUGAGCAUCUGGCCCCGACCUGGUAAAGGGUCGGUUUCGCCCAGCAGUAAGCCCUACAUGUGGACAGAGGACGAACACCGGACGAGCGAACGGAGACUACAUGCAACAAGUGGUGACCCCGACGUGAUCUGUCUGCUGAGGGUGGCUGCCCGGCGUGCCCGUGACGCGGAGAAGAGCCUGUGAGGUGGCGGCAGGUCGCAUACGUAACAAUGGACCAAGUCAUUAAGGUGGGACUUGCUCACCUCGGUGCUAUGCCAGCGCGCCAUGGCCAGUCAGAAGGCUACGGAACUUAAAACGUGGGGACUGAUAUUAGGAGCCCUUAAAGCGGCCAGAGUUGAGGGAAAGGUAUUGGUGGAGGCUCGAUACCUUUUGGGUCUCAGCGGAGGAGGUGAGACACAGGACCCGGUCGGGUCCGAUGGGGGUUCGGGAGCAGUUUCUUGCAGGGGCCGAGAGGAGACGGAGCCGCCAAUGACCGUUGGCGGGAUGGCGCCGGCUGAGCCGACCGCGCUCAGUUCAAAAGAAGACAAACAACAAGAGAGUGAAAGUUCGUUGUCUCGUCCCCCUCCCCCGUAUCCAAACCCCUCAGGUGGAACGUUGUAUCCUUUAUCAGAAUUACGUCAGUGUUACCUGACUCAAGGGGGCGGAGGAAGCUGUGAUCUACACGGGCAGGAUCAACUUAGUGCCCACAUGGGGAGGGACCAGACAGAAGGUCCGUCCAAUGCGGACAGGGGGCAUAGCCUACUGUCUCUGGUCACUCCCAGGGGCGGUAGUGCGAGUGAUAGUGUAGAAGAGAAAGAAGGGACUGGCUUUGAGUGCAGGGGGAGGGAUCAAAUGACGGACUGGAAUGGGAUUAGAUCGGAGGCUUUGGGAAAGGGUAUAGUUCCAGAGGCAUUCCGGGUGAUUGUGAGUGAUCGUGGUCCCGAAUGGGUGCCGCCUGACCCCGGGGGUGUUACGCGCCUGGUGGAAUUUAUGGAUAAAAGAGGCCUGAAAUCGCCUCUGACAUUAAAUGCACUACAAACUUUGGCUGCACUGGGGCCUCUCUUCCCCCGUGACAUCACAAACUUAAUGCGUACGGUGCUCAGGCUGGUUCAAUAUACGUUAUGGGAGACGGACUGGGUGGCCGAGUUGGGGGGCCGUGCCGGGGCGACAGGGGUCGGCCCGCACCGCUCCCUGCAUGGGACCGGAAUACAGCGGCUUUCAGGGAAGGCCGUGGGAGUGGCUUCGCCCCAGGGCCAGCUAGCGAGACUAAGGCCAGGGGAGCUAAUAGCAGCCACAGAUGCAGUGGUGGAAGCGUUUAAUAAACUUGUGCAUAAGGCCGAACCACCUACUCCGUGCACAGAUAUUACCCAGGGCCCGAAUGAAUCCUUUCAAAGCUUUACAGACAGGCUUUUAGCUGCUGCAGAGGGGUCUGAUCUCCUGGUACCGGCCCAAGGGCCAGUGAUCAUUGACUGCUUGCAGCAGAAAUCGCAUGACAAUGUUAAGGCAUUGCUGCGAGCCGGCCGAAGUACGCUUAAUACCUCGGGAGCCGGCCGAAGUACGCUUAAUAUCCAGGGAGAAGUUAUUCAGUAUGUCUUAGAUAAGCUCAAGGUGGCUCAUUUAACUAAUGAAAGGCUAGUCACAGCUAUUGUCGUAGCUGUUGGCCUGCGACAGCAAAGAUCGCUGCAGCAGCAAGGGCUGUGUUUCCGAUACGGCCAGUAUGGCCAUGUUAGAGCACAAUGCCCCUGUGGGGGAGGCCAGUCAGGGCCUCCUGAUCACAGGAAGGGCUUGCUAAAGGGUAUCCGUGGUCGGGUAUGCAGCAGUUAAAUAUCAUGAAUCUGGGAAAUUCUGUGGGUACCAUCGCGAAAAGUAAUACCAGAUAUAAGUAGCAUAUCUGCAAAAACUGAGUCUAGGUGCGAGUUUUCUACAGAAAUUCUUCGUUGGCAGACCGAAGCCAACUCCAGAACAACUGAGGGACAGACGAUGGGAUCAAGAACCACUCGUCAAGAGGAGCACUACACCUGCAACGCUGACACUUCCGAUGUUGCUGAUAUUUAUGGUGUCCAUGGCGAUUACAGAGUGUCACAAACAACUACAAUGGACACAAGAACAUAUGCAGAAAAUUAAAGAAGAGCGUGAUCCCUUUGGAAGCUGGCUGGACGGACUGUUUGGGGGAACGGGUUCAUGGUUAAAGCAAUUGCUUAAAGCUCUCGCAGUAGGAUUUGCAAUCUUUGUGUGUAUUCUAAUCUGUCUUCCAUGCUUUGUAGGAUGCUUGCCUUCAACGAAUGAUGGACAAGACUUUUGACUAUCACAUUGAGUAUCAUAGAUUGCGUGAAAAAUUAUAGAGGGGUUUAGGUUGUUGCGUUCGUGCUGUAACGGGGCAAGGCUUGGCCGAGCACGGAAAAGAAUUCCCUGUUGCUCUGAUGAUUGCUUAAGAACUGUAGUAGAAAAUAGUAGGAAUAGUGUGCUGAAAUAUAUUUAGGAUUAGGCGUUUUGCGCUGCUUCGCGAUGUACGGGUUAGGUGUGUGUGUAAGUAGUAUUUAGCUUAGGGAGGGGGAGAUGUUGUAGUAGGCGUCUUGCGGGGGCACGGGAUGUACGGGACAGGCCUCUCCCUAAACAUAGAGAGAUAGUGCUAUCGUGCUGACCUUGUUGCAGAGAAAACAGGAGAAGAAGAAGGAUGAUAAAAGAAUGUGGAAACGGCCAAAUAAGGCACAAUGUUAUCUGGUGUGAACUAAUCAGAGUGGGACAUGACAGCACGGUUAUCUAGGUAAAAUGUAUAUAAGCUGUGUUUAGUAGUGAAUAAACGCCAUUUGCCUCACUUACUCCUGGGGUCUGGG